rnacentral:rRNA from 1 species
UACAGGGGGGGCAAGCGUUGUUCGGAAUUCCUGGGCGUAAAGGGGUCGUAGGUGGCCACUUAAGUCAGACGUGAAAUCCCUCAGCUUAACUGGGGAGCUGCGUCUGAUACUGAGUGGCUUGAGUGCAGGAGAGGAAUGCGGAAUUCCAGGUGUAGCGGUGAAAUGCGUAGAUAUCUGGAGGAACACCGGUGGCGAAGGCGGCAUUCUGGACUGUAACUGACACUGAGGAACGAAAGCCAGGGGAGCAAACGGG